rnacentral:rRNA from 1 species
UACGUAGGGUGCAAGCGUUAAUCGGAAUUACUGGGCGUAAAGCGUGCGCAGGCGGUGAUGUAAGACAGUUGUGAAAUCCCCGGGCUCAACCUGGGAACUGCAUCUGUGACUGCAUUGCUGGAGUGCGGCAGAGGGGGAUGGAAUUCCGCGUGUAGCAGUGAAAUGCGUAGAGAUGCGGAGGAACACCGAUGGCGAAGGCAGCCCCCUGGGUCGACACUGACGCUCAGGCACGAAAGCGUGGGGAGCAAACAGG